CCUACGGGGGGCAGCAGCAAGGAAUAUUGUGCAAUGGGCGAAAGCCUGACACAGCGACGCCGCGUGAGGGAUGAAGGCCUUCGGGUUGUAAACCUCUUUUCUCAGGGAGGAAUAAUGACAGUACCUGGGGAAUAAGUCACGGCUAACUACGUGCCAGCAGCCGCGGUAAUACGUAGGUGGCGAGCGUUAUCCGGAUUUACUGGGCGUAAAGAGGGCGCAGGCGGCUUAGCAAGUCAGAUGUAAAAUCUCCCGGCUUAACUGGGAGGGAUCGUUUGAUACU
rnacentral:rRNA from 1 species